AGGGUGAUGGCGUACCUUUUGUAUAAUGGGUCAGCGACUUACUAGUCUGUAGCAAGCCUAACCGUAUAGGGAAGGCGUAGGGAAACCGAGUCUUAAUAGGGCGCUUAGUUGCAGGCUGUAGACCCGAAACCCGUCGAUCUAUCCAUGUCCAGGGUGAAGUUGUGGUAACACACAAUGGAGGCCCGAACUCAC
rnacentral:rRNA from 14 species